rnacentral:rRNA from 1 species
UACGAAGGGGGCUAGCGUUGUUCGGAAUCACUGGGCGUAAAGCGCACGCAGGCGGAUUGAUAAGUCGGGGGUGAAAUCCCGGGGCUCAACCUCGGAAUUGCCUUCGAUACUGUCUGUCUUGAAUCCGGGAGAGGAUAGUGGAAUUCCCAGUGUAGUGGUGAAAUACGUAGAGAUUGGGAAGAACACCAGUGGCGAAGGCGGCUAUCUGGACGGUUUCUGACGCUAAGACGCGAAAGCGUGGGGAGCAAACAGG